UGAAAAAUUUUAAAUAGCUGCAAUCUUUGUACUAAGGUAGCAUAAUCAUUUGUUUUUUAAUUUUAAACUAGAAUGAAAGGUAAAACAAAUCAUUUCUUUAUUUUUUAUUUUAUUUUAACUUAUAUUAAAUAUAAAAAUAUAUUUUUUUAAAAAAAAGACGACAAGACCCUAUUGAACUUCACUUUAGUUUAGCUGGGGAAGCUAAAUAAUAAAUAUUUUAUUAUAAAUUUUAUAAAUGACCCAAAAUAUUUGAUUAACUAAUCAAGUUACCAUAGGGAUAACAGCGCAAUAAAUUUUUUAAGUUCUUAUACAAAAAUUUGCUUACGACCUCGAUGUUGAAUUAGAAAUCU
rnacentral:rRNA from 1 species